AGGAGGGAAAUGUGUGUUCUCGGGGGUCGGACCUCAGAGGACAGAUCCUGGGUUCCUACUGCCUUACUGGGAGCCCUUGGCCAAAUCCCUGCCCCUCUCUGUGCCUUGGUUUCCCCUUCUGCAAACGCGAGGGGCUUUAGCAGAUGAUCUGUAACGUCCCUUCAGUGCUGAGUCCUUGAGAAGACAAGAAUGACGGGCUCGAGGCCCCAGAGCUGUUGGCAGGUUUGUCUCAGAACCACACCAUGGGAAAACGGACCGUCUCUGCUCCGGCCACCAGCCCGCCCCUGACUCCCCGCGGGUGCUGACCCUGGGCUUUGAGAGGCCCAGGAGCCCUCAGCUGGGAGACAAAAGCCCACCCUGGGCCCUGCGCGGCAACGUCACCCCGGUCUUGAACUAGUUAAUGCUCCCCUCCAGAUACCAGCUCCUUAUUAAAAUGUAGGUUUUACAAUACAUUUGGCAUUUGGCCACCAACCUUAGAUUAAAACCAGACGGGACAGCCACUACCCAAAUACUUAGACCAAAUUUUGAGCAGAGGGCUGCCCUUUUCCUCCUGAAUGACUCUCCGACUCCUCCCACCCUGUACCCCCACUCCAGCCCUGAGCCCCCACUCUCCGGAAUGUGGUUCUGGGGUCUCAGGACUGGAAAAGACCACGCUGAUCACAGAUGUAACCAGAGGAUCCUAGAAAUUUGAACCCUUGGCUCCUGGAGGGUUAAGGCCAGAGACCCGGAGCCCGAGGGCUGGGGGGAUGAGGGGAGAUUCUGGGGACCCCAGAGCCUUUGCAAUGGUUAGCCUUUGACCUCCUGGUCCUUUUUUGUACCUAAGAAUAGGAUACAAAUGCUGUCCGCCCAAUACUUUUGCCCUGCUCCCCCCUGGGCCCAGUGAUCUCAGUUUUCAGAGGCUCCGGGGCCUCGGAAGAAGUUUUGGCCUGGCCCUGGCUUCCCCAGUGGGCCCACUGCAGCAGCCCCACAUGGAGAUGUUCGGUCCCAAGAACCCCACCCCGUGGCUGCUCUCUUACUGAGGGCUUCUCCAGAGACCCCGGCCCAGAGUGGCUUUGGGGCUUCUGGCCAUGCUGAGCCGCCACCAGGGCCUAGACACACCCCCUCUGCUGAGUGCCUUCCUGCCCAGCAUCCCCUCCGGCAUUCAUGGGAUUGCCUUUCCUUGCCACUGGCUGCCAACCCCAGUGUCUCUCUCCUCCUCCCCACUUUGCUGUGCUCUCUGUUAUGGAAUAGUCUUACUGAGACACAGGUCCCAUGCCACACAGCUCACCUAUUUAAGGCAUCCACGCCAGUGGUUUAUAGUAUAUUCCAUGCGCAAUCAUCACAAUUUUAGAACAUCUACAUCUACAUCACCCCAAAAAGAAACCCUGCUCCCUUUUGUCAUCCUGCCCAAUCCAACCACCGCCUCCCCUGACCCCCAGGCAGCUACUAAUCUGUUUUCUGUCUCUGUAGAUUUACCUGUUCUGGACAUUUCAUGUGAGUGGAACCAUAUAUUAUGCAGCUUUUUGUGACUUCUUUCAUUUAGCACCAUGUUUUAAAAUGUUUCCCUUUGUGUUUUUAAACACAAAUAAUGCUUUUAAAGGCUCCAUCCAUGCAGUAACAUGGAUCAGGACUUCGUUGCUUUUUACAGUUUAAUAAUAUUCCACUGUGGGAUAGACUCCAUUAUGUUUACACAUUCAUACAGUUGGUGGGCGUUUGAGUUGUUUCCACUCUUUGGCCAUUUUGAGUACUGCUUCUAUGAAUUUCAUUUGCAGGCAAAUUUUGGGAUGAACAUAUGUUUCAUUUCUCUUGAGUACACACCUAGGAGGGGAAUUGCUGAGUCAUAUGGUAAUUCGGUAACAUUUGGAAGAACCACCAAACUGUUUCCAAAGUGUCUGCCCCACAUAACACUCCCACCAGCGGUGUAUGAGGGCUCCGAUUUCUCCACAUUCUUGUCCACACUUGUUAUUAUCUGUCUUGUGUUUUUAGCCAGCCUAGUUAGUGGCUGUGAACUGGUGCUUCUUUGUGGCUUUGGUUUACUUUUCCCUAGUGGCUAAUGAUGCUGGAGCUUCCUUUCAUGUGCUUGCCCUUUAUGUAUCUUCUUUGGGGAAAAAAAUGUCUAUUCAGAUCCUUUGCUCAUUUUUAAAUUGGAUUAUUAGUCUUUAUUGUUGAUUUGAAAGAGUUCUUAAUAUUUUGUAAAUACAAACCCCUUACCAAAUAUACAGUUUGUAAAUAUCUUUCCCAUUUUGUGGUUUGUCUUUUCACUUUCUUGAUGGUGUUCACCAAAGUUUUCAUCCUGAUGAAGUCUGAGUUAUCUUUUGUCUUUAAUCGCUUGUGCUUUCGGUGUCACAUCUAAGAAACCGUUGUCUGGCCCCUUUGAUAAAAGGGGACUGGCUUUGGAAGCUGAGACUUUCCACCCUUUUCUAGAAUGAGGCAUUCCUUCAUUUAUAUAAUCAUUCAUUUGGAAAUAGCUUUGAACCCAAGCUUCUUGCCUGGUACUCAGGAUACAGCAGGGACAAGGCAACCACGGUCGCUGCCUUCCUAGAGUUUAGAGUUGAAUGGGGGAGACAGGUAUGAGGCAGACAACUGAAACAGAGGAAUGGCUUAAUUACAGAUGUGCGGGAGAGGAGAGGGUCCAGCCCAGGAGCUUGUAACAAGGAGACCUGGCCUGGCCUGGGGGCUGGGAAAGCUUCUCAGGGCAGGGAAUUUAGGCUUAGACUAAAGAAUGGGUGAGCAUUAGCCAGGCACAAGAGGUCUCGUGCUCCACACAGACAGAAUAGCAUGUACAAAGUCCCUGGGGUGGGCUGUUCAUUCAUUCUUUUAUUCAACACUCAGAAAAUAUUCAUGAAGAAUUUAUCUUGGGCCAGGCCCUGUGAUAAGUCCCAGGGACACAGAGCACAGUGAGUCCCAGUCCCUGCCAGAAGAAUGGCCACACGUUUACCCUACCAUGUCACAGAGCGGUGAUGGGGGUCCAGGAUGGCUUGCCGGAGAGGGCAGUGCUGUGCUGAGACCUGAAGAUGCUGUUGGCCCAACCCUGGCCCUGCCCUUGCAGGUCUCUUAGGCUGGGCAAGCUGCCCACCUCCCCUCCUAGAAGCCGCCUGCCCUGCGUGCCGCUCCCAGCCCCCUUGGCCCGCACGCCUGGAACUCCAGCACGUACCCCAGCUCCAGAAAUGCUUCUGUUGCCUUCAGCACCCUCCUCCCAGGUGCUCCACACACCCUAAGCCCCUGGAGAGACCCUCAGAAGCCCACUGCAGGAGGCCGCGGCGGGGUGGUGGGUACUCAGGGCCGGCUGCCCAUGCCAAGGUGCCUAAGAGCCUGGGCUCUUUGCCAGUCUGCAGGUUCAAAUCCCAGCUCCGGCUUUCACUAGCCACGUGGCUUUGGCCCAUGUGUGCCUUAGAUUCCUCCUCUGUAAAUUCGGGCUAGGAGCCCCCCUCGUCGGGUUGUCAUGAGGUUAAUGAGGGAGUUCCUGUUAUUCCCAUUUCAGUGCGAUUCCUGAGGCUGGGAGCUGUUAAAGAGUUUGCCCGAGAUCCUAACCCAGGACCUCCCGCCUCGCUAGCCACUAGCCCGUCCUGCCUGUCAUUUCUCAUCUGAGUUGGUGAGAGGCUCCCCCUCGAGCGUCUCCUCGCGGCCCUCCUGUCCUCAGAGAUACGGCCUCUGCACCAGCUAAGGACCCAGUUUGCAGCACUCCUCUCUGAGCGCUUCUCCCUGGGGUCCUUCGGUGGAAUCCACGUCUCCACCAGGAGACCUUGGCGGGGUGUCGUGGGGGCGAAGCUGAAGCCUUGCCCGGCCUCUCCACACCCCCACCUCCACUUCCUUCCUCAGACUUCCCUGGCCGUAAAUAUUUCUGCAGCUCCGAAGCUCCUUUGACCAAGGCCCAGUGUUAAUUUGUUAAAUCCACAUCAAGGUCCUGGGGACCCGUUGUUUAUUUUUGUGAACGUGUUGGCAGAGA